GUUCCAUCGAUUUUCUGAAGAAUUGUGAAUUGUGUAUAUUUUUAAAAUUGUUAAAAAUAAUUAAGAGUUUCCGUGCAUCUUGAAAAAUUAAUCAAUAUGGUGGAAGAAUUUUGUGAAAAAUCUUUAUGGGAAAUAUAUAAGAAAACCACAAAUCAUCACGUGUUAUCCAUAUCAAUACAUGGAAUCAAGACAAAGCCAUGGUAAAACAAGAUAUUUAUACAUCACAGUUUGCAAUAAAU